ensembl:snRNA U2 U2 spliceosomal RNA
AUUGCUUCUCAGCCUUUUGGCUAAGAUCAACUGUAGUAUGUAGAGUAGCUUUCUCUUUUUUCCACUUCAUUCUUUGACUUCCAGAAAAAUUCUUAUUUUUGAAGACUUACUUAUUCUGGAAAUAAUAAAAUGCAGUAUCUAUUAAGUAUUAAACACU